rnacentral:rRNA from 1 species
CUCAGAACGAACGCUGGCGGCGCGCUUCCACAUGCAAGUCGCACGAGAAAGUGGAGCAAUCCAUGAGUAAAGUGGCGUACGGGUGACUAACACGUGGAUCAUCUACCCUUUAGUGGGGAAUAACCCUGGGAAACCGGGGCUAAUACCGCAUAAGCCUGUGAAGGGAAAGCAGCAAUGCGCUGAAGGAGGAGUCCGCGGCCGAUUAGCUUGUUGGUAGGGUAACGGCCUACCAAGGCGAUGAUCGGUAGCCGGCCUGAGAGGGCACACGGCCACACUGGCACUGAAAUACGGGCCAGACUCCUACGGGAGGCAGCAGUGGG